GGACCCGCACAAGUAGUGGAGCAUGUGGUUUAAUUCGAAGAUACGCGCAGAACCUUACCAACACUUGACAUGUUCGUCGCGACUUUAAGAGAUUAAAGUUUUCGGUUCGGCCGGACGAAACACAGGUGCUGCAUGGCUGUCGUCAGCUCGUGUCGUGAGAUGUUGGUUAAGUCCCGCAACGAGCGCAACCCUCACUUUUAGUUGCCAUCAUUAAGUUGGGCACUCUAGCGAAACUGCCGGUGCAAACCGAGAGGAAGGUGGGGAUGACGUCAAAUCAUCACGGCCCUUACGUUCUGGCUACACACGUGCUACAAUGGUCGGUACAGAAAGCAGCCACUAUGCGAAUAGGAG
rnacentral:rRNA from 1 species